UGCUGAAUUCUUUGGGGCUGCGUUUGAUUUGAGUGUAAAGUAAGAACUAUUUAUUUCAAGGAUAGGUACAAAUUCAAAUAUAAGUAGAACUAGAUCAAUUUUACGUUUAAAUUAAAAUUGGGUUGUUCAUAAAAAUAAGGUAAAUAGUCUUUGAAUAGUAAAAUUGGAACAAAGAAAAUAAAAGUUAAAAUUUUAAAUUAAAAUUAUUUUAUCUAAUUAAUUAACAUCAAAAUAUUACCUAAAACUAAUAAAUUAAUAUUAAUAAUUAUAAAUAAUAAACUAUUUAAAUAAUACUAAAUUGAAUAAAAACUUAUAAAUAAUUAUAAAUUAUAAAUUAAUUAAUUAAAAAUAAAUAAUGAUAAAUAAGAUAAUUAUAAAUUAAUAAAUUAAUGAAUAAUUAGUUAAUUUUAAAUAAAUAAAUAAAUAAAAUAUUAAUAAUUAUAAAUAAUAAUAAUUUAAUCAAUAAUUAUAAAUAAUAAAUUAAUAAAAUAUUUUUUAUUUAAGCAAUAAAUAGUGAUUUAAAUAUAUUAAUUAAAUUAAUUAAUUAUUUCAUACGAUAAUUAAAAUUAUAUUAACUUUAUUUCCAGCCGGGAACAAGCUUGUUCCGGAAAAAAAAGGUGGAACAACAGUUCCAGCCUUAUACCGGUUUAUUUUAAAAAUCUGAGAACUACUAUUUUCGAAUAGCAAACGCAGCAUUUGGGAAUAAAAGGAGGAAGAAGAAAUUAUUCCCUCUCUUGUUUCCGAACCAAACGUAACC
rnacentral:lncRNA from 1 species